GACAGAGGCCUCGAGCGUUAGGCGGAAUCACUGGGCUUAAAGCGUGUGUAGGCGGACGCCUAAGUACCUUGUGAAAUCCCACGGCUCACCCGUGGAACCGCUGGGUAUACUGGGCGUCUUGGGCCAUUCGGGGGCAACUGGAACAAGCGGUGGAGCGGUGAAAUGCGUAGAUAUCGCUUGGAACGCCGACGGUGAAAACAGGUUGCUGGGAAUGUGCCGACGCUGAGACACGAAAGCCAGGGGAGCAAACGGG
rnacentral:rRNA from 1 species